GAUGAACGCUGGCGGCGUGCCUAAUACAUGCAAGUCGAGCGAACAGACGAGGAGCUUGCUCCUCUGACGUUAGCGGCGGACGGGUGAGUAACACGUGGAUAACCUACCUAUAAGACUGGGAUAACUUCGGGAAACCGGAGCUAAUACCGGAUAAUAUAUUGAACCGCAUGGUUCAAUAGUGAAAGACGGUUUUGCUGUCACUUAUAGAUGGAUCCGCGCCGCAUUAGCUAGUUGGUAAGGUAACGGCUUACCAAGGCGACGAUGCGUAGCCGACCUGAGAGGGUGAUCGGCCACACUGGAACUGAGACACGGUCCAGACUCCUACGGGAGGCAGCAGUAGGGAAUCUUGCGAAAUGGGCGAAAGCCUGACGGAGCAACGCCGCGUGAGUGAUGAAGGUCUUCGGAUCGUAAAACUCUGUUAUUAGGGAAGAACAAAUGUGUAAGUAACUAUGCACGUCUUGACGGUACCUAAUCAGAAAGCCACGGCUAACUACGUG
rnacentral:rRNA from 1 species